GUGUUACAUAUAAUGCAAUAGUAGUGACAGUAGUAGUAGUAGCAGUAGCAGUAGCAGCAGUAGUAAAAAUAAUGUAGUAGCAGCAGUAGCAAUAGUAGUGUUAGCAGCAGUAGUAGUAACGGUGAUAGUAUCAGUAAGAGCAAUAGUAAAAUUAGUAACAUUGUAGCAAUAGCAGUAGUGGUGGCUGUAGCACUAGCACUUGUUAUAGCAGCAGUAGUAGUAGUAGAUUUAGUAAAAGUAGUAGUAGUAGCAGUAACAGUAGUAUUAGUAGUAGUACUACUAGUACUAGUAUCUAUAAAUGUAAUGUACUUGAAAGAUUUUAGCAUCAACCACAAAUCAAAACUUGAGUUUCUCAAUUAGUCUUUCUUAUUUCUUCCUUUAAUAUUUUAACAAAUUAUUAUAUUCAGCUUGUCUAUCC
rnacentral:lncRNA from 1 species